GACGAACGCUGGCGGCAUGCCUAAUACAUGCAAGUCGAGCGAACAGAUGAAGUGCUUGCACUUCUGACGUUAGCGGCGAACGGGUGAGUAACACGUAAGGAAUCUACCUAUAAGCGGGGAUAACAUUCGGAAACGGGUGCUAAUACCGCAUAAUAUCUUCUUCCGCAUGGAAGAAGAUUGAAAGACGGCUCUGCUGUCACUUAUAGAUGACCUUGCGGUGCAUUAGUUAGUUGGUGGGGUAACGGCCUACCAAGACGAUGAUGCAUAGCCGACCUGAGAGGGUGAUCGGCCACAUUGGGACUGAGACACGGCCCAAACUCCUACGGGAGGCAGCAGUAGGGAAUCUUCCGCAAUGGGCGAAAGCCUGACGGAGCAAUGCCGCGUGAGUGAAGAAGGCCUUCGGGUCGUAAAACUCUGUUAUAUGAGAAGAACAAAUUGUAGAGUAACUGCUACAGUCUUGACGGUAUCUUAUCAGAAAGCCACGGCUAACUACGUGCCAGCCGCCGCCGUAA
rnacentral:rRNA from 1 species